rnacentral:rRNA from 1 species
UACGUAGGUGGCAAGCGUUGUCCGGAUUUAUUGGGUUUAAAGGGUGCGUAGGCGGCUUUGUAAGUCAGUGGUGAAAUAUGUCAGCUUAACUGAGAGGGUGCCAUUGAUACUGCAGAGCUUGAGUACAGAUGAGGUAGGCGGAAUUGACGGUGUAGCGGUGAAAUGCUUAGAUAUCGUCAAGAACACCGAUAGCGAAGGCAGCUUACUAGACUGUAACUGACACUGAGGCACGAAAGUGUGGGGAUCAAACAGG